rnacentral:rRNA from 1 species
UACGAAGGGGGCUAGCGUUGCUCGGAAUCACUGGGCGUAAGGGUGCGUAGGCGGGUCUUUUAGUCAGGGGGGAAAUCCUGGAGCUCAACUCCAGAACUGCCUUUGAUACUGAGGAUCUUGAGUUCGGGAGAGGUGAGUGGAACUGCGAGUGUAGAGGUGAAAUUCGUAGAUAUUCGCAAGAACACCAGUGGCGAAGGCGGCUCACUGGCCCGAUACUGACGCUGAGGCACGAAAGCGUGGGGAGCAAACAGG